CCAGACAAAAAUGCACACUGUUUUGCCUUCUUUAUUAUUCAGAAUAAAAAAAAAAAGGGAAUCUUUUAAGUCAGUUUUUUUUCUUCAUUAAAGUUUUGUUAGAAAAUUAAAUUGAAUCGAAUCUUGGAGAAUGUAUCGUUACACCCCUACUUCCUAGUGUUGGUGUUUUACAAGCCAGCAGCCAGGGAAUUGUGAGAGAUUUUUAAAUAGUGUUGAGAUUUCUAAUUGAAAUAAAAACAAGAGUGAACACCUUCCACAAAGAGAAGUGGUUAUGUUGACAGAUUUUGUGCAAACAGGAAACAGUUCAUAUGAAGUUGUUUUGAUAAAGUAUAAAGCAUAUAGUGUUGUACCUCUAUUUAAAAUGCUUGAUUUAAUAAGGAAAGCACAGUAAAUACAAAUUCUGAGAAAUUAGGGUUUUGUUUUUUUUUGUCGUACUGGUUUCAGUUCUGUUUGUAUCAUGUCCGUUGUGAAAAUGCUUUCUGCAUUCAAAUCCCAUGCUUCAGUGAUCUGGGAGUGUUUAUAGCGCUGUGACUUUAACACUUCGUAACUGAGAGCUGCUGCUACAGCAACUUCACCCACAGCUACCAUGACUUUGAUCCCCGUCUUCAUCUGGACGCUGAUCCUCUGGACUCAAGAAUGCAGAGGUCAAGUCACAGUAACUCAGACUCCUGCAGUGAAAUCUGCUCUUCCAGGAGAAACAGUCACCAUCAACUGUAGAACCAGUCAAGCAGUGUACAAGGACUCACAUGGUGAAAGGUUAUUCUGGUAUCAGCAGAAAUCUGGAGAAGCUCCUAAACUCCUGAUUAAAUAUGUAAAGCAGAUACAGUCGGGUAUUCCAGCUCGUUUCAGUGGCAGUGGAUCUGGAUCUGAUUUCACUCUGACCAUCAGUGGAGUCCAGACUGAAGAUGCAGGAGAUUAUUACUGUCAGAGUCACCAUGAAAUCACUGGCUACUGGUUCACACAGUGUUUUAGAGUCGUACAAAAACCUCCCUCAGUCAGAUUGUAG